rnacentral:rRNA from 1 species
GACGUAGGGUGCGAGCGUUGUCCGGAUUUAUUGGGCGUAAAGAGCUCGUAGGCGGCUCGUCGCGUUAGCUGUGAAAACCCGCGGCUUAACCGCGGGCUUGCAGCUGAUACGGGCGGGCUAGAGUUCGGUAGGGGAGACUGGAAUUCCUGGUGUAGCGGUGAAAUGCGCAGAUAUCAGGAGGAACACCGGUGGCGAAGGCGGUUCUCUGGGCCUUACCUGACGCUGAGGAGCGAAAGCAUGGGGAGCAAACAGG